rnacentral:piRNA from 1 species
UCAAUUUGCGUUUUUCUUGAU